rnacentral:rRNA from 1 species
UAGUCAUAUGCUUGUUUCAAGGACUAAGASMWKSMWKSCUYAGAAUGACUGCAUUGCAGGAAUCUGCGCAUGGCUCAUUACAUCAGACGUAAUCUGCCGCAAAAAUGUUGCGGUUUCGCAAGAUUGGAUACCUUGGCGAAACGCCAAGCUAAUACAUGAACAAGAAGCACCCUCCACUCCAUGUUUGGCGCAAGUCAAGCAGCGAGGGGCUUUGCGAAUGAAUGAAACUAGAACCAAUGCUCGCAAGAGCAGCAACACAAGCAGUGUUGAAUCAAUUCAUUCCGUGCGAAAGCCGGUUUACCGGCGUCUUUCGAUGAACAACUGCCCUAUCAGCCAGUGAUGGCCGUGUAGUGGACUGCCAUGGCGUUGACGGGAGCGGGGGAUUAGGGUUCGAUUCCGGAGAGGGCGCCUGAGAAAUGGCGACCACUUCUACGGAGGGCAGCAGGCGCGCAAAUUGCCCAAUGCCAAAACAAAUGAUGAGGCAGCGAAAAGAAAUAGGUGCCCCAAACUCCUUGUGGGUUUGGGGCUUUCAAUGGGGGAUAUUUAAAACCAUCCAACAUCGAGUAACAAUU